rnacentral:rRNA from 1 species
GACGUAGGGAGCAAGCGUUGUCCGGAAUCAUUGGGCGUAAAGCGCGCGUAGGUGGCCUCAUAAGUCCGCUGUGAAAGUCAAAGGCUCAACCUUUGAAAGCCGGUGGAUACUGUGGGGCUAGAGUACAGAAGGGGCAACUGGAAUUCUCGGUGUAGCGGUGAAAUGCGUAGAUAUCGAGAGGAACACCUGCGGCGAAGGCGGGUUGCUGGGCUGAUACUGACGCUGAGGCGCGAAAGCCAGGGGAGCGAACGGG